AAUCAACGCUGGCGGCGUGCCUAACACAUGCAAGUCGAACGCGAAAGUCCCGCAAGGGAUCAGUAGAGUGGCAAACGGGUGAGUAACGCGUGGGUGACCUGCCUUCGAGCGGGGGAUAACGUCCCGAAAGGGACGCUAAUACCGCAUAACAUCCUGCCUUUUAACAGGCGGAGAUCAAAGCUGGGGAUCGCAAGACCUAGCGACUC
rnacentral:rRNA from 1 species